UGAAUUCAAAGGAUGCAGACGCCAUACCGCGGCAAGCAUGCUCAGAUCACUUUGGCAAUUAGGAGCACAUUAAACACCUCGCGCAUUAUCCAGCAGUAUAUGCAGCACCAGAACCUGGCAAAGCGAUGCCGUGCGAGUAGGCGAUGUCAG